UAUGAACGCUAGCUACAGGCUUAACACAUGCAAGUCGAGGGGCAGCAUGGGCUUAGCUUGCUAAGCCCGAUGGCGACCGGCGCACGGGUGAGUAACACGUAUCCAACCUUCCGGUAACUCCGGUAUAGCCUUUCGAAAGAAAGAUUAAUCCCGGAUAGUAUGGUGAUUCCGCAUGGUUUCUCCAUUAAAGAAUUUCGGUCAUCGAUGGGGAUGCGUUCCAUUAGGUUGUUGGCGGGGUAACGGCCCACCAAGCCUUCGAUGGAUAGGGGUUCUGAGAGGAAGGUCCCCCACAUUGGAACUGAGACACGGUCCAA
rnacentral:rRNA from 1 species